UUUAACUAAGUUUUAGAAAAUUUCCUCUUAAUUUAUAAAUCAGGUGAGUGAAGUGCCAUUUCUGUCUGCACUAAGUUAAGCUCAUUUCUUUCCUAGGUGGCCUCCUGAUUUAUUUAAAUGGAUCAGUGAGCUCGAAAGUACAUUUCCUGAUCUACUUGAUAUGAAGAAAAAUCUUUUAUCCUGAACAUGGUCAUUAUAUAUUAUGCAAAAGAUGUUAAUGCACCAGAACCAGUAGAAGUUGAGUUCAAUUUACUGCUUUGUAGAAAUCUUCUUUGGUGGCAAAUGUCAUAAGUUUAAAUUAUAGGUCUUCAAGUGAAAAUGCUACUUAACCUUUGUUUAAUUAGAAAAUCAACACAUUGUCAUUGGGAAGAGCCCCCUGCCAUGCCAGGGCUUCAUGCACAUUAGUCAGACCUGUGAUAAUUAUCCAAGGUUAAUACUGAUGGAAUUACAAGUAGCCACAUGGCACACUGAUGAGGGCCACAGUUCAACAUGGGGUGGGUAGUGGUCUGCUGUAGAAUCCCCCUUGCCUGGAGAAUCUUUGCCAAGUACAAUCUUUGCUUUGACAAGAUGGAUGGAUAAGGGCUGAAUUUCUGGUCAGACUAUCUGUAGUCAAAUCUCUUCCUAUCUUUCACUUGGCAUGUGGCCUUAGGUUUCCAGCAUUCUUCUAGGCAACUCUAAUGAGUGGGAAGAAAGGAAGAAAACUAGAGUUGGACGUCUCCAUCCAGGAGAAAGGUCAGGAAGAUGAGUCAAGUUGAGUCCGUAACCCAAGCAGACCAUGUCCUGCAUUCUGGGAAUGGGUAGAAUUUAUGAAGAAACUCAGAUCAGGUCACUAAGGCAUGAUAUAUUAAUGAGGAACUUGAAGGUCAGACUCUAUGAUUGACGAUCCCACACAGAUUGGACAGAUGACUUGGAAGAAUUGAGCUGGAACAGACCUGGAAGUCUCCAUGAAGACUUGCUCUGAUUUACCAAAAGGUGCCAAUGGAAAAAGCAAUCAAUAGUCCAACUUCAAUAAUCCUAUAUGGCUUCAAACUUAUGAACCACAAUGAUAAGCAC